GGCGUAUGUCUCUGCUACUCAACUCCCAGCAAUUCAGAAUGAAUCUUCCAGUACAACUGUAGUAACUGACACUUCAUGAGGUCCAGGGGAGUGUACUACUGGACAAAAGCGUCAAGGAAAGAAGAGAUCAAGGUCAAGAUGAUCCUAUCCGACGAUGGGAGCUUAUCUGAGAUCCUUGUGCAGGGUGAUGACGUCCAAGUUGAGCAGAUGAGGAAGGAGCUCAAGUUCAGCGAGAAGGGGAUGAUAUAUGUGAAGGGCAUCUUUGAGACAUGACCGGGAGUUUGAUAUCUGUGAGUGAACAGUCGAGAUGAGUCUAUUUGCUGCAACGGAAACUGCAGAACUCAGGUGAGGAAAUGCAAAUUGGACGGGCAAAUCUGUACCUUGGCUUAAAGGAAAAGAAGUGAUCUUCAUACGGGAUUUGAUUAUUGUAAGUGUUGGCAGUAUGAGGAUAGUUUAUGUGUGAACUUGACUUUGUAAAAAGUUGAUGAGAAACACCUU
rnacentral:lncRNA from 1 species